UGCCUAGUCAAGAUGUGGUCUGUCCCACC
rnacentral:piRNA from 1 species